rnacentral:piRNA from 1 species
AAAAGCACAAAGAUUAGACUGGAGG